rnacentral:rRNA from 1 species
UACGGAGGAUCCGAGCGUUAUCCGGAUUUAUUGGGUUUAAAGGGUGCGCAGGCGGGAGAUUAAGUCGGCGGUGAAAUUUUGCAGCUCAACUGUAAAAGUGCCUUCGAUACUGGUUUCCUUGAGUGUGGAUGAAGUAGGCGGAAUUUGUGGUGUAGCGGUGAAAUGCUUAGAUAUCACGAGGAACUCCGAUUGCGCAGGCAGCUUACUAAACCACUACUGACGCUCAGGCACGAAGGCGUGGGGAUCAAACAGGAUUAGAUACCCCGGUAGU